GUGCCAGCAGCCGCGGUAAGACGAACCGUACGAACGUUAUUCGGAAUCACUGGGCUUAAAGGGUGCGUAGGCGGUGCGGUAAGUUGGGUGUGAAAUCCCUCGGCUCAACCGAGGAACUGCGCCCAAGACUGCCGUGCUCGAGGGAGACAGAGGUGAGCGGAACUUCGGGUGGAGCGGUGAAAUGCGUUGAUAUCCGAAGGAACACCGGUGGCGAAAGCGGCUCACUGGGUCUCUUCUGACGCUGAGGCACGAAAGCUAGGGGAGCGAACGGGAUUAGAUACCCCGGUAGUCCUAGCCGUAAACGAUGAGCACUGGGUUGGAGGGCCCUCCAUAGCCUUCCAGCCGCAGCGAAAGUGUUGAGUGCUCCGCCUGGGGAGUAUGGUCGCAAGGCUGAA
rnacentral:rRNA from 1 species